CCUCUUCUCUCCAUUGACGAUACGACGCCCUCUCUUUCUCCUCUUUCUUCUUCGCUCAAUCAACGACAACAACACCCGCUCUCUCUCCUCUUCCUUAUUAGUCUCCAUCAACAACGACACCCUCUCUCUCAUCUUUCUUCUUUUCACGCAAAGCUCUGUUUUUCAUCUGGUGAGGCUAAUGGAGGUGUGUGUCAUUGCCAAGUGCACAUAUAAGUCGGAAACCAUCAUGUUUUCAGUUUCAUCAGAGUCAUCCAUGGUUGAUAUUUUGAAGACUUUGUGUCUGAGGUUUAGGGGUUUGCAGUUGGGUUGUUUCACAUUACGGUAUUCGGUGCUCAGUUAUCCGAGUUGUUUUCUAGAAAUGGAUAGCGAUUUGGACUUGAUGAGGACAUUUUUGUUGACAUCAAAUGAGAAGACUGUUGAUAUUUUAGUGAAGGAUUUAUGCGGGAGCAAUGAAUAUAGUGGUGAUUUUUGUGUAAA